rnacentral:rRNA from 1 species
GAUGAACGCUGGCGGCGUGCCUAAUACAUGCAAGUCGAGCGAACAGACGAGGAGCUUGCUCCUCUGACGUUAGCGGCGGACGGGUGAGUAACACGUGGAUAACCUACCUAUAAGACUGGGAUAACUUCGGGAAACCGGAGCUAAUACCGGAUAAUAUAUUGAACCGCAUGGUUCAAUAGUGAAAGACGGUAUUGCUGUCACUUAUAGAUGGAUCCGCGCCGCAUUAGCUAGUUGGUAAGGUAACGGCUUACCAAGGCAACGAUGCGUAGCCGACCUGAGAGGGUGAUCGGCCACACUGGAACUGAGACACGGUCCAGACUCCUACGGGAGGCAGCAGUAGGGAAUCUUCUGCAAUGGGCGAAAGCCUGACGGAGCAACGCCGCGUGAGUGAUGAAGGUCUUCGGAUCGUAAAACUCUGUUAUUAGGGAAGAACAAAUGUGUAAGUAACUAUGCACGUCUUGACGGUACCUAAUCAGAAAGCCACGGCUAACUACGUG